rnacentral:rRNA from 1 species
UUAGGUGGCCAUGGCGACGGGGCCACCCCUUACCAUUCCGAACAGGGAAGUUAAGACCGUUUGCGCCGAUGGUACUGCUAUACCAAGUGGGAGAGUAGGUAGCCGCCUUUU